rnacentral:lncRNA from 1 species
CAGUAUCUCAAAAAUUUGCCUCCGCUAUGCCACCAAUAUGUUCUUUGUCAUCAUUAAACAAGUCUAAUGCAUAGCAAGCCUCUUUAAAUGAAGUAUAUCUAAUACCAUUGAUAGUUUUUAUAUCUUCAAAAUACGUGGCACUUCUUACUAUAUUAAGUAAGAUCCUUUCGUAGUAUAUUUUUUUACUUCCAAAAGGGACAUAAAAUACUUUA